UCCUGGCUUUAAUUUAUAUGCCUUUUUCAAAUUCUGACUGGUUGCAUGAUGAAUAAAAUCAAAUCACCAUCUUUCGGCUGAGUUCGUGA
ensembl:snoRNA snoZ196 Small nucleolar RNA Z196/R39/R59 family